rnacentral:antisense_RNA from 11 species
CGUAUCCAAUGAUUACUACAGGAUUUAAUGUUGGGUUGUCAAUGAUACGUACAUCUCCUCCACCUGGAGCCCACGUAUCGUAUAAACCACCAACAUACAUAGCUUUUACUACUAGUAGUAAAGCUCCAAAUCCUAGUAUCACUAGGUGAAUACCUAGAAUAGUAGUAAUUUUGUUCUUAUCACGCCA